CAUCCCCCAAUGGUUUUCCUAUAAUUUUUUUAAAUAUUAGUGAUAUUUGCUAAUAUUUAUACUAUUAAAAAAAUAUCAUGCCAUGGGUAUUUACUAACUGUCACUUUUUUAUUUGAUGGAUAUAUAAAUCAAUAGAUGAAAAUGGUCGAAAUAAAGAAAGGAGGAUCAAAGCUUUGAAAAUAAGAGAGAGCAAUAGAAAAGAAAGGACCAAAAGAAAAAAAGAAUGAUCAAAACUAUGAAAAUAGGAGA
rnacentral:lncRNA from 1 species